GUAGGGAAUAUUGGACAAUGGGCGAAAGCCUGAUCCAGCAAUGCCGCGUGAGUGAUGAAGGCCUUAGGGUUGUAAAGCUCUUUUACCAGGGAUGAUAAUGACAGUACCUGGAGAAUAAGCUCCGGCUAACUCCGUGCCAGCAGCCGCGGUAAUACGGAGGGAGCUAGCGUUGUUCGGAAUUACUGGGCGUAAAGCGCGCGUAGGCGGCGAUUUAAGUCAGAGGUGAAAGCCCGGGGCUCAACCCCGGAAUAGCCUUUGAGACUGGGUUGCUAGAAUCCUGGAGAGGUUAGUGGAAUUCCGAGUGUAGAGGUGAAAUUCGUAGAUAUUCGGAAGAACACCAGUGGCGAAGGUGGCUCACUGGACAGGUAUUGACGCUGAGGUGCGAAAGCGUGGGGAGCAAACAGGAUUAGAAACCCCGGUAGUCC
rnacentral:rRNA from 1 species